UGAGGAAUAUUGGUCAAUGGGCGCGAGCCUGAACCAGCCAAGUCGCGUGAGGGAAGACUGCCCUAUGGGUUGUAAACCUCUUUUAUUCGGGAAGAAUAAGCCUUACGAGUAGGGUGAUGCCUGUACCGAAUGAAUAAGCAUCGGCUAACUCCGUGCCAGCAGCCGCGGUAAUACGGAGGAUGCGAGCGUUAUCCGGAUUUAUUGGGUUUAAAGGGUGCGUAGGCGGCCUGUUAAGUUAGUGGUUAAAUGUCGGGGCUAAACCCCGGAUUGCCAUUAAAACUGGCGGGCUCGAGUACAGACGAG
rnacentral:rRNA from 1 species